rnacentral:misc_RNA from 1 species
GAUGAAGAACGUAGCGAAAUGCGAUAAGUAGUGUGAAUUGCAGAAUUCAGUGAAUCAUCGAAUCUUUGAACGCACAUUGCGCCCUUUGGUAUUCCUUAGGGCAUGCCUGUUCGAGCGUCAUUUAAACCUACAAGCUAAGCUUGGUGUUGGGUGACUGUCCGCUUCACGGCGGACUCGCCUCAAAAUUAUUGGCGGCCGGUACAUUGGCUUCGAGCGCAGCAGAAACGCGAACUCGGGCCCGUCGUAUUGGCUCCCAGAAGCUAUCUUCACAAUUUUGACCUCGGAUCAGGUAGGGAUACCCGCUGAACUUAAGCAUAUCAAUAAGCGGAGGA